rnacentral:rRNA from 1 species
AUACGGAGGGUGCAAACGUUGUUCGGAAUUACUGGGCGUUAAGCGCGCGUAGGCGGUUUGUUAAGUCAGAUGUGAAAGUCCACAGCUCAACUGUGGAAGUGCAUUUGAAACUGGCAGACUUGAGUACUGGAGGGGGUGGUGGAAUUCCCGGUGUAGAGGUGAAAUUCGUAGAUAUCGGGAGGAAUACCGGUGGCGAAGGCGACCACCUGGCCAGAUACUGACGCUGAGGUGCGAAAGCGUGGGGAGCAAACAGGAUUAGAAACCCUAGUAGUCC